rnacentral:rRNA from 1 species
CGCCGCGUGAGUGAUGAAGGUUUUCGGAUCGUAAAGCUCUGUUGUUAGGGAAGAACAAGUGCCGUUCAAAUAGGGCGGCACCUUGACGGUACCUAACCAGAAAGCCACGGCUAACUACGUGCCAGCAGCCGCGGUAAUACGUAGGUGGCAAGCGUUGUCCGGAAUUAUUGGGCGUAAAGGGCUCGCAGGCGGUUUCUUAAGUCUGAUGUGAAAGCCCCCGGCUCAACCGGGGAGGGUCAUUGGAAACUGGGGAACUUGAGUGCAGAAGAGGAGAGUGGAAUUCCACGUGUAGCGGUGAAAUGCGUAGAGAUGUGGAGGAACACCAGUGGCGAAGGCGACUCUCUGGUCUGUAACUGACGCUGAGGAGCGAAAGCGUGGGGAGCGAACAGGAUUAGAUACCCUGGUAGUCCACGCCGUAAACGAUGAGUGCUAAGUGUUAGGGGGUUUCCGCCCCUUAGUGCUGCAGCUAACGCAUUAAGCACUCCGCCUGGGGAGUACGGUCGCAAGACUGAAACUCAAAGGAAUUGACGGGGGCCCGCACAAGCGGUGGAGCAUGUGGGUUUAAUUCGAAGCAACGCGAAGAACCUUACCAGGUCUUGACAUCCUCUGACAAUCCUAGAGAUAGGACGUCCCCUUCGGGGGCAGAGUGACAGGUGGUGCAUGGUUGUCGUCAGCUCGUGUCGUGAGAUGUUGGGUUAAGUCCCGCAACGAGCGCAACCCUUGAUCUUAGUUGCCAGCAUUCAGUUGGGCAC